GGAGACUUCAUGGCCGGCCACCGCAGUGUUGUGUGUAUGUAGCAUCGGCACACUGCACACUGAGAAGCCGCCUCAAUCAGGGGUGUGCUUCCCUGUGGCUGGCCCCUCCCACCACACUCAGAGAGGGCUGGCUAAGGCUGCGUGUAUCAGGCCAGCAGCAGCAGCUCUCCUCUGUGUCUGCUCCUCGGCUCUCACUGCUGCCUUCCCACACUGUCCUGGAGCUUGGGCCUCCAGUCCACUAGCCAAGCUGCCGGUCCGUGUCAGAUUUGAAAUAGCGGCGGUCAUAGGUGGACCGGAGCUGGACUGAAGGCUGUUGACCACAGCCGCCUCCCCUGCACCGCAGCCCACAGCCGCCUCCUCCGCAACGCCGCCGCCCACAGAUUCUUCCUCCUCACUGCCGCCGACCACAGCAUCCUCAUCCUCCGCACCGCCGACCACAGCCUCCUCCGCACCGCCGCUGCUCAUUAGGACUCAAGGCGUUUUAAAGGCAUCAAAACAAAGCACAUUGGACAAAGAUUAAUACAGUAACACAGAAGUAAAAAGAAAACCUACAGCGCACAGAUGUGUGUCACAGCAUAAAGAAGGUGUGCUGCAAGAAAACCCAGAAGCAAGCAACGUUUACAGGAUACAGAUGUACUGAGACAUCCUCUUCACUUUGCAUUCCAGCUGAUGCUAGAUGGGGUUUAAUGUAUGAAUGUUGAGUGACUUGGAGCUGCUUGGGGACAUGUUACAGGCCUCCCUGCACUGUAUAGGAUAACCUCAAGUUCCACAACUAUUACACCUUACCUGUCGCUGUUUUUGGAAUUCAACAACAGAAAGGUAUAAAUCUUCCAGCACACUCCUUUCAGCGGGUGCUAAACAUUUUUCCCUAACGUCAGUGAGAGGAAUGACAGGUGGACACUUUUCUCCAUGUGCUCUCAACACGGGAGUGUUGGAUGAAAUACAGAGAAGGCUCGGGAAGAAGUGGAGCAGAUUUCCCAUUAGAAAUGUUUUUAUAACUCAGCAGUAAGAGAUACUGGACAGGGCGUCUUUUAAGCAUUAAAAAAUGCAUUUCCUUUAAAACCAAAAAAUAUAAACUAAAUGUUUAGAACAUCUGUGUAGUCUCUAUAAGAAAAGAAAAACGGAUUCCAUUAAAAGACGUAGGGGACUUUAGUGCAGUAGUUUAAUUUGUGGUGAUAGACUUCACUUUUAGGAAGUGAAAUGAAAUACUUCAUACUUUGGUCUGGCAGACAUGUCAGUGCCAAGAAGAUUGCUGUAAAGGGAGCCCCAUGACAUGCAUGCUGCAUUCUUUUUAUAAAUACAUCAUAUCAUAGCCUAAAACCUCCCAAAGUCAUUAACUGGAAAUGUUCAUAAGGCAAUUUCCUCAAACUGCCACUAAACGGUCUCUGAGCGCUAUGUCAGCCAGACUGAUUGGCAUGAGAAAACAAAACAAUGCAUUACAGACACAAACAUUUAUUAUUUAUACAUUUAUAACUGCUAUUAGCUUCCUAUGAUAAUGUCUCCAGUGUUCUUUCCUCAUGUCUCUCUGUUUCUUCCUCUCUUUCUUCAGCGCUCCUCUUUUUCUCCCCCUCUUACUCACUCUGUCAUUUCACCUUCAUCUGUUUAUUUCUCUUAUCAGCACUUCAUUUUAUUAUAUAGACUAUU